AACGAACGCUGGCGGCAUGCCUAACACAUGCAAGUCGAACGAGACCUUCGGGUCUAGUGGCGCACGGGUGCGUAACGCGUGGGAACCUGCCCUUAGGUUCGGAAUAACUCCCCGAAAGGGGUGCUGAUACCGGAUAAUGUCCUCGGACCAAAGAUUUAUCGCCUUUGGAUGGGCCCGCGUUGGAUUAGCUAGUUGGUAGGGUAAAAGCCUACCAAGGCGACGAUCCAUAGCUGGUCUGAGAGGAUGAUCAGCCACACUGGGACUGAGACACGGCCCAGACUCCUACGGGAGGCAGCAGUGGGGAAUAUUGGACAAUGGGCGAAAGCCUGAUCCAGCAAUGCCGCGUGAGUGAUGAAGGCCUUAGGGUUGUAAAGCUCUUUUACCCGGGAUGAUAAUGACAGUACCGGGAGAAUAAGCUCCGGCUAACUCCGUG
rnacentral:rRNA from 1 species